rnacentral:tRNA from 1 species
GCUUCCUUAGCUCAGUUGGUUAGAGCGCAUGACUGUUAAUCAUGAGGUCGACGGUUCAAGCCCGUCAGGGAGCG